GUUUGAUCCUGGCUCAGGAUGAACGCUGGCGGCGUGCCUAACACAUGCAAGUCGAGCGAUCUUCUUCGGAAGAGAGCGGCGGACGGGUGAGUAACGCGUGGGUAACCUGCCCUGUACACACGGAUAACAUACCGAAAGGUAUGCUAAUACGAGAUAAUAUACUUUUAUCGCAUGGUAGAAGUAUCAAAGCUCCGGCGGUACAGGAUGGACCCGCGUCUGAUUAGCUAGUUGGUGAGGUAACGGCUCACCAAGGCGACGAUCAGUAGCCGACCUGAGAGGGUGAUCGGCCACAUUGGAACUUAGACACGGUCCAAACUCCUACGGGAGGCAGCAGAAGGG
rnacentral:rRNA from 1 species